AUACGGGGGGGUGCAAGCGUUACUCGGAAUCACUGGGCGUAAAGAGCAUGUAGGCGGAUUAAUAAGUUUGAAGUGAAAUCCUAUAGCUUAACUAUAGAACUGCUUUGAAAACUGUUAAUCUAGAAUGUGGGAGAGGUAGAUGGAAUUUCUGGUGUAGGGGUAAAAUCCGUAGAGAUCAGAAGGAAUACCGAUUGCGAAGGCGAUCUACUGGAACAUUAUUGACGCUGAGAUGCGAAAGCGUGGGGAGC
rnacentral:rRNA from 1 species